UCGGUUGGACUAGGACAGUCCACUUUUUUUAAGCUCUCGGCCAAGGGUGUCUUGAGACCACCUUCAUGUGAGAUUUCUUGUUGAUCCUUCUUUGAUAAUUCAUGAGCUUGAACCUUCAAAUAAUAAGAAUCAAGGCUAGGUAAAAUGCUAGCCUUUGAGAUGGUAAGUAUCAAGGAACCUUUGUAGGCAAGUCCUAUAAACAAAGUUGUCUUCCCUUUCCCCUUCUCGCAAUCCAAAACCUCCCC
rnacentral:lncRNA from 1 species